UUUUCCAUGUAUUUGCUGCUGUAGUCUCUAGGUGACAGGAGCAGUUAUACGCAUGGGAUGAAACAAUAUUGGGCCACUGCAAAUUGAGAUGAAGUCUGUUUUGUCUCUUCUGCAUGGUCUGAGACAAUG